rnacentral:rRNA from 1 species
CCUACGGGAGGCAGCAGUGGGGAAUAUUGCACAAUGGGGGAAACACUGAUGCAGCGACGCCGCGUGGGUGACGAAGUAUUUCGGUAUGUAAAGCUCUAUCAGCAGGGGAGAAGAAAGACGGUACCUGACUAAGAAGCCCCGGCUAACUACGUGCCAGCAGCCGCGGUAAUACGUAGGGGGCAAGCGUUAUCCGGAUUUACUGGGUGUAAAGGGAGCGUAGACGGCUGUGCAAGUCUGAAGUGAAAGCCCAGGGCUCAACCCUGGGACUGCUUUGGAAACUGGGGAGCUAGAGUACUGGAGAGGUAAGUGGAAUUCCCAGUGUAGCGGUGAAAUGCGUAGAUAUUAGGAGGAACACCAGUGGCGAAGGCGGCUUACUGGACAGUAACUGACGUUGAGGCUCGAAAGCGUGGGGAGCGAACAGGAUUAGAUACCCGUGUAGUC